GCCGAUGUGGUGGAAUUGGUAGACGCACUGGUUUCAAAAUCCAGCGAGGGCAACCUCGUGUCGGUUCGACUCCGACCGUCGGCA
rnacentral:tRNA from 1 species